GAAUCAUCUAUUUGGAUUUUAUGUCCUCAUGCAACCAAACACUGUUCUGUUUAGUGCCAGCAGUAGUCAACAUUUACAAUGUUCACUACUCUUGCAGUGAAGUAUGAUUCAGAAUAUGCAUCUCUGAGAGAAUAAAGAGAAAAGUUGAGUGGAAAUGAGCUCCCUCGAGGAUUCCAGAUCAUGUUUCAAGAUUAGGAAGAUGGUAGUGGUUCAACUUUGUGGAAAGCAUGGAUGCGGUGGAAGGCUUUGCAGGAAGAGGGGAGCUGCAGGGAAUUUACUUGGAAAACUGGCAACCCGGCUGCAGUUCUGCCAGUUAUGUGCGGCGUUUUAUGAAUGAAUGGAAUAAAUGUUUAACGGAGGUGUGGGCCG